rnacentral:rRNA from 1 species
GAAAGUGGCGAACGGGUGCGUAACGCGUAGGCAACCUGCCCUUGAGCGGGGAAUAACCAUCGGAAACGAUGGCUAAUACCGCAUGAUGUCUUGUUCUCGCAUGGGAACGAGAUCAAAGUCUUCGGACACUCAGGGAUGGGCCUGCGUCGGAUUAGUUAGUUGGUGAGGUAACGGCUCACCAAGGCUACGAUCCGUAGCUGGUCUGAGAGGAUGAUCAGCCACACUGGCACUGAGACACGGGCCAGACUCCUACGGGAGGCGGCAGUGAGGAAUAUUGCGCAAUGGGCGAAAGCCUGACGCAGCCACGCCGCGUGGAGGAAGACACCCCUAUGGGGCGUAAACUCCUUUUAUGCGAGAAGAAAUCUCCGACAUGUCGGAGCCUGACGGUAUCGUAUGAAUAAGCACCGGCUAACUCCGUGCCAGCAGCCGCGGUAAUACGGAGGGUGCAAGCGUUGUCCGGAAUCACUGGGUGUAAAGGGUGUGUAGGCGGGAUAGCAAGUCAGAGGUGAAAUCCUGCAGCUUAACUGUAGAACUGCCUCUGAUACUGUUAUUCUUGAGUAUCGGAGA